CCUACGGGAGGCAGCAGUGGGGAAUAUUGCACAAUGGGGGAAACCCUGAUGCAGCGACGCCGCGUGAGCGAUGAAGUAUUUCGGUAUGUAAAGCUCUAUCAGCAGGGAAGAAAAUGACGGUACCUGACUAAGAAGCCCCGGCUAACUACGUGCCAGCAGCCGCGGUAAUACGUAGGGGGCAAGCGUUAUCCGGAUUUACUGGGUGUAAAGGGAGCGUAGACGGCGGUGCAAGCCAGAUGUGAAAGCCCGGGGCUCAACCCCGGGACUGCAUUUGGAACUGUGCUGCUAGAGUGUCGGAGAGGCAGGCGGAAUUCCUAGUGUAGCGGUGAAAUGCGUAGAUAUUAGGAGGAACACCAGUGGCGAAGGCGACCUGCUAGAACAUAACUGACGCUGAUGCGCGAAAGCGUGGGGAGCAAACAGGAUUAGAUACCCCAGUAGUC
rnacentral:rRNA from 1 species